AUGGCUUCCAUCACCAUACUUGUGUGUUGGACUAUUUUGAACGAAAGAAAUGCACGGAUUUUCUACAACAAGUGUGUGUCGCCGCCGAUUUUGCUACACGCCUUAAAAGAUGAAGCUCGGCUGUGGGUAACCGCAGGCGUAAAGAAAUUAGGUGUCAUCUUAUCAAGAGAGUAA
rnacentral:rRNA from 1 species